rnacentral:rRNA from 1 species
GCAGCCGCGGUAAUACGUAGGGUGCGAGCGUUAAUCGGAAUUACUGGGCGUAAAGGGCGCGUAGGCGGCCUGCUAAGUCGAACGUGAAAUCCCCGGGCUCAACCCGGGAACUGCGUCCGAUACUGGUUGGCUUGAAUUCGGGAGAGGGAUGCGGAAUUCCAGGUGUAGCGGUGAAAUGCGUAGAUAUCUGGAGGAACACCGGUGGCGAAGGCGGCAUCCUGGACCGAUAUUGACGCUGAUGCGCGAAAGCCAGGGGAGCAAA